rnacentral:sRNA from 1 species
GCUGGGCAUGGUGGCGCGUGCCUGUAAUCCCAGCUACUCAGGAGGCUGAGGCAGGAGAAUUGCCUGAACCCAUGAGGUGGAGGUUGCGGUGAGCUGAGAUCGUGCCAUUGCACUCCAGCCUGGGUAACAAGAGCGAAACUCUGUCUCAAAAAAAAAAAAAAAAAAAGAUGUGCAGUAGAGAAACCUGUUUUGUUUUUUAAGACGGAGUCUCGCUCUGUCACCAGGCUGGAGUGCAGCGAUGCAGUCUCGGUUUACUGCAACCUCCGCCUCCUGAGUUCUAGCGAUUCUUCUGCCUCCG